rnacentral:rRNA from 1 species
CGUAGGGUGCGAGCGUUGUCCGGAAUUAUUGGGCGUAAAGAGCUUGUAGGCGGUUUGUCGCGUCUGCCGUGAAAAUCCGGGGCUCAACCCCGGACUUGCGGUGGGUACGGGCAGACUAGAGUGUGGUAGGGGAGACUGGAAUUCCUGGUGUAGCGGUGAAAUGCGCAGAUAUCAGGAGGAACACCGAUGGCGAAGGCAGGUCUCUGGGCCACUACUGACGCUGAGAAGCGAAAGCGUGGGGAGCGAACAGGA